GAUGAACGCUGGCGGCGUGCCUAAUACAUGCAAGUCGAGCGAACGGACGAGAAGCUUGCUUCUCUGAUGUUAGCGGCGGACGGGUGAGUAACACGUGGAUAACCUACCUAUAAGACUGGGAUAACUUCGGGAAACCGGAGCUAAUACCGGAUAAUAUUUUGAACCGCAUGGUUCAAAAGUGAAAGACGGUCUUGCUGUCACUUAUAGAUGGAUCCGCGCUGCAUUAGCUAGUUGGUAAGGUAACGGCUUACCAAGGCAACGAUGCAUAGCCGACCUGAGAGGGUGAUCGGCCACACUGGAACUGGGACACGGUCCAGACUCCUACGGGAGGCAGCAGUAGGGAAUCUUCCGCAAUGGGCGAAAGCCUGACGGAGCAACGCCGCGUGAGUGAUGAAGGUCUUCGGAUCGUAAAACUCUGUUAUUAGGGAAGAACAUAUGUUUAAGUAACUGUGCACAUCUUGACGGUACCUAAUCAGAAAGCCACGGCUAACUACGUG
rnacentral:rRNA from 1 species